UACGAAGGGGGCUAGCGUUGCUCGGAAUCACUGGGCGUAAAGGGUGCGUAGGCGGGCUUUUAAGUCAGAGGUGAAAUCCUGGAGCUCAACUCCAGAACUGCCUUUGAUACUGGGAAUCUUGAGUAUGGAAGAGGUGAGUGGAACUGCGAGUGUAGAGGUGAAAUUCGUAGAUAUUCGCAAGAACACCAGUGGCGAAGGCGGCUCACUGGUCCAUAACUGACGCUGAGGCACGAAAGCGUGGGGAGCAAACAGG
rnacentral:rRNA from 1 species